rnacentral:rRNA from 1 species
AUGAAGCGAACAGAUAGACCUGCAAUGGAAAAACAAUAUGCCCGACAAAAGGAAGAGUCACAACGCAGGAUACUACUUUCCUUCUCUGAGAAACCUUCAAAGAUAACAUUGCCACAAUAUGCAUCAGGGGACGCGUUGAUGGAGAUCCAGAGGUCAAUUCUGGAACUAGAUCAGGUUGCUAAGGCAAAUGUACUGGAUCUUCAGGAGGCAAUACUGGGACUGGAUCGGAUUCUUAAGGCAUCUAGGACAAGUUUUGCUCUUCUUGCAUUUGGGCUUCCUCUUCUACUAUUCUUUCGAGUGCUGACACUGGUAACACAUGUCCAGAGUGCAGAGGGAAUAGAUAGCAUUGGGGAGCUUCUUGUACUUGCACAGCGAAGGUUUUUGGAAUUUAAAGAAUCCAAUGUUAAUGGAGAGGAGGAUGAGGUGAUGUGGAAGUUCGGAUUGACACUUUACUCCCUUGAUAGAUUAUACGAAGUUGUUGAGUUGCAUGGAAAUCAAACAGACGAGUGGACAAGCUUGAAGGAGUACAUCUUCCGUCUUGCAAAACCUGGUGUGGCCAUGGAAGAUAAGCUUGAUGCUCUUUCCUGUCUGAAGCGCACAUACAGAUUCUUAAGGUUAUUUUAG